rnacentral:lncRNA from 1 species
AAUCAGAUUUGAGUCUCUAUUAAAGAUACUAUAUUUAAUGUCGGAAAUAUACUUGGAAUAAGAUUACAAAGAAUUUAAAAAAAUAAAAAUGUAUAAUAAAGGUGAGAGAAAUAGCAGCCACACUUUAGUUUAGGUCCCCAACCGACCCAUUAUUCAUUUAAGAGAGCAAAUGGAUAAAAAGUAUGGAAAGAGAAAGAGAGAUAAUAAACCAAAGAAGAAAACAUUUAUAAGAUACAUUUAUUAUAUAGAUUUUGUUGUCUGUCGCAUAACAUCACACACUUCUCACAUUUCUAACGUUGCGUUGUGGUUAGAAUCAAAACACGAUGCCUUUUUCAUCCAUUGUAAUUCAUGAUACACUCCAAACUGAUGAGUUUGUGUCUCUCCCUUUUUCUAUACUUCACUUUUUUUUUUCUUGUGCAUUUUUGUUAAAAAAUACAAAAAAUAAAAUUACUCACGAAAAUCUUUUAAAUUUG